CUUGUUACAUCAUACAUCCUUUGUAAACAGUCAAAAGGAGGAAAACAUGUGUCCAGAGCCUUCUGUACCCACCCAUGUGUUUGUCGUGGUGAGCACUCAUUUUCCCCAUGGAGCAGAGACUACCUGGGACCAUCUCGUGGCUCCUGCUCGCUUGCGUUUUCCUCUGCUGGUCUUGGGCUAUCAUUAUCAUAUAUGUCACAUAUUCCAUAAUAAGCUCAUUAAUACCGUCUUGCAAUUGUUUAUGUAAUUGUCUUUGCAGUCAGUUAACAGGAGAAAACAGAGCACAUAUAUUUAUUCUCUCUCCGGCACUUGCCUGCGGAACGACCUUGACGGAUGUUCUUGGUUUCUUCGUGUGAAUUUGAGUUAUGGUGUUGUCACUUCCUUUCAGCCAGCAGAGCUCCCUUUAGUGUUUGGGGACAUGGAUUUGUCUCUGCACGCUGCUCCGGGGAGAGCCAGCCCUUCUGCGGCACCAGGUGGACCACGGAGUCGGGGGGGACUACUUUCUGGGACCAGGCCAUUGGCAUGGAGACCCGAGCUCAGCGAAGCAGACAAUGACCCAGGAUCUGCAAGGGGAGAGCGUGAUCCCUCCAACAGGCGUGGAGAGGGCAGGUCCACGAAGGCGGCCACAGCUGACAGUCCACUGAGAGUGCGCACUCCAGGAGGUCAUGGUGAGGGAAAGGGACUGUGCAGGCCUGGGGCAGGGAAUUCUGGGAAGGGGUAAACGAAACAAGAGGGAGGCAAGUUAGGGCCAAGGUGCAGCAGGCCCAGUGGACAGGCUGGAGAGUCCAGCCUCUGUUUUUUCUAGAGUUGUGCAGGAAGUGUGGCAAAGUUGUAGGGGCCACUCAGGACUUCCUGCAACCAGGUGGAGGCGUGGUCUGAGGAUAGAGGCAUGGUGCAGAGUGGAGGCAGGGUCCCAGGGUGGAGGCGUGGUCCUGGAGUGGAGGUGUAGUGCAGAGUGGAGGCGUGGUGCAGGGUGGAGGCGUGGUCCCAAGGUGGAGUUGUGGUCCUGGGAUGCAGGCAUGGUCCCAGGGUGAGGUGUGGUCCCGGGGUCGAUUUGUGGUCCUGGGGUGGAGGUGUGGUCCCAGGGUGGAGACGUGGUCCCAAAAUGAAGGCAUGGUCCUGUGUUGUUGGUGUGGUCCCAGGGUGGAGGCGUGGUCCCAGGGUUGAGGCGAGGUCCCAGAGUGCAGG
rnacentral:lncRNA from 1 species